UUUUGGUCCUAAAUGAAUAAUGAUUUUCCCGAGUUCUUUGAAUCUUUAAUAAAUUUAAAACUCAAAGGGCUUGGCGGUGUUUUAGACCUCUCAGGGGAACCUGUCUCAUAAUCGACAAUCCACGUUAAACCUAACCUCUAUUUGCAAUUCAGUUUGUAUACCGUCGUCGUCAGGUAACUUUUAAAAAAUAAGAAGUUGGCAACAAAAUUAGAUAAAUUUAAACGUCAGAUCAAGGUGCAGCCUACAUAGAGGUGAGGAUGGGUUACAAUUAAAACUUAUAAUUACGAAUAGGGUAACGAAACACUUGCCCUAAUGAAGGAGGACUUGAAAGUAAAAAUAGAUCUAUAUAAAUAACUUGAAUAAGGCUCUGAAACGGGA
rnacentral:rRNA from 1 species